GUAACAAGUUUCAGUAUUGGUACAUAAUUGAGAUGCACAAAUAUUUUAGUCUUUGAUUUUAAUCCUUACAGUUGCCAAUAUAAUCAUUGAAUAAUGGUUGAUGAAUGUUUCAUUCCUUUCUACUUCAGUUCCCCAUUUAAAAGUGGUGUGUCAAUGGCAAGUCGGCUUUGUAAGGCUGCAAUGUUAAGUAGAUUUAAGCUGCUUGCCAAGGAAGCAAAAAGAGACUAUUUCUUUAAACCAAGUACAUAUUAUGCAGCUAAGAAUAUGUCUGGCUCCUAUCAAGAAGCUAAAACUUUAUUGAAAUCCUACUUACAGCAACAUGGCUAUGGCUCCUGGAUUGUGAAAUCUCCCGAUAUAGAGCAAUUUAAUAUGUGAAUUAGACAAUUCCUUGUCAUAUUAAAAAUCUUUUAUUUUUUGUGUGUUUUGACUGGUAAAAAUGUUUUUAAAAUAUUGGAAGUUUUCAACUUUCAAAAUCAGAGUCUUGUACCAGCAUUGUCUUGAGUAUUGCUAAAAAUUAGUACAUCUUCAUGCCAACUUACAUUGAAACAUUAGGGAUUUUUAAACAUUUUUUCAUUUGUUUUUGAAAAAGAAUUACCUGAUUCAAUGUGUACACAUUUUUUUAAAUUUUUACACAGACAUAGAAUCAUUACUCUUUUGCAGUUUAAAAGAGAAUUCAUUUUGUCAAGAUUUUGCUUUGAAAUCUUGUAAUACACAUGGCUGUAAUAGCCAACAUUGUUUCUGAUAUCAUUUAAAUUUUCUUUUAAUUAAACAUAGAAACCAGGAAUAAAAAUAAUUUGUAUUCAUUUAUUCAACAGGCAUUUAAAUGCUUAGUUUGUUCCACUCACUAUGCUAGAUAAUAGUAAUACAGUAGGUGAAAGAUUCUCAAAUCAAGUUCAUGAUUGCAAACUGUACAUACAAACACAGAAAAAUGUUAAAACCAUAUUAGGUAAGUCAUUUGGUAUAAUUAAUAGAAGAAAUUCAUAUAUGUUUUAAAUAAGAUUGCCCACUGUCAUCAGUCCUACAUGAUCUACUUGUACUAAAUGCUGCUUAGUUCUUCAUAAUUUAGAUUAAUGAGGAUUUCUAAUUUAUAGGUAAAUAAAACUUUAACUUCAUAUUGAUAUUUGUUUAUCCAGCAGUUACCUAAAAAGGAAAGUUUACUCUUCAGUUAAGAUAUAUAUCAUUAAUUAAAUUAUGAGUUUACCCCAUACUUUAGCUACUUUAGCUUCUUUACCAUAUUCCUUGCCAUUCUAUCAGAGAUAUAUUGAACCUUACUGGUUUCCAGGGUUUGCCCUCUUAGCGUGCAUCUGUACCAAAUUUAUGAGUUUUAUGCUAUCCAAUGUAAACUAUUAUAAUCUGAUAAAAUUGGUGUAGCUUGCUUUGCUGUCUGUUCUAAAAGUAUACAGUAGUAGAGUUUAGUUAAUGAAUGGCAAAGUUUUUCUGGAAAGACAUACUUAUGUCUUUUAGUGGUCUAGACUCUAUAUAGUACUUAAAAUAUUAGGAUGAACCAUGUGAAGUGGCCACAUUUUGUAAAUUUAAAAGGAUAAAAUAUAUGCAGUAUCAUGAGCAUCAAGAAAAAUAUAUUAAUAAAUUUCA